GAUACCCUGAGUGACAUUCCUCAGCCUUAAGAACAGAGACUGAACACAGCAGCGCUCACUCAGAGGCAGGUGGAGUGUGCAGAGCACAGAAGGUACAGUGGGUGGACAGGAAGGAGCUGGAGGCCAUGCCAACAGGUCUGGAUCAGUGGCUCUCAACCAAUGGACUGCCAACUGCUGGCCACGGAGCUGGAGGCUAACAACUGUCAAGUGUGCCCUGACAGUGAAGACCAACUGCACCCCAGAAAUGAUGACACCCUCAGACAGCAGGAAGUAGCCUAAGGAACCAAUGUUCCCAUCCCUGCCUCACCAUCUCUCCCCUUCUAGUUCCUUCUCUUUAUAAGAAACCAAAGGGAGCAGCCUGAGGGGCCUGGUGACAGCAGGACACAUCAUCACUAGCUGCCAGGAGGUGACACAUUCCUCCUGUCACUUGUCCCACAGCCCCUGAUAAAAGCCCUUUUCCCUUCAUCUCUUCCAGAGGCAGCCUGUGUAUCCCCUCCCUUCCCCCUGAAUAAACCUCCCAUGUGAAA
rnacentral:lncRNA from 1 species